rnacentral:sRNA from 1 species
CGACAGUGGGCCUGAAUAGGGAGCAGAGUGGGGGAAGCUGUGGGCUAAGUCGUCCUUCAAGAAUGCACAAGGGAGCUCUGUGGGAGAGGGCCAGCCCACAGGAACCCACUCCACCCCAGUGGCCAUCACAAUGGAAUUCAGGUCUGCGUCACAAUGCCACUGGCAGUGGGAGGCUGGUCUCUUUGUUUGGAGACCUAGUUACAGGAACUCUGCGUCAGAGGUCCCUGUUUCCUGGGGUAUGGGAAGGGGCCCAGCUGCUGAGCGGCCUCAAAAUGGAGAACUGUAGGAAGAGCAGGUGUGAGGUUGGGCAGUCCCACUCAGCCCCCGGACCUAGCGGCUGCAGGGCCCAGGACUAAUUCUGACAGAGCCUCCUCUCCAGCAGCUCAGGGAGUGGCUGAGGGUCAGAGCCUUGGUCCUGUCAGGCCUCACUCACUCAUUAACCUAGGGAAUGAAGACCCAGAGCCUGGAGCUGCUGUGGACCUCUUGCCUCAAGCCAUCAUCUGUUCUCAGAAGACCCCAGUGCUACACGUCUUCAGUCUUGUGCCUCCAUUGAGUACAUGACCCACCACCAGGCAAAGGACACGUCACCUCUGGACGGCUGCCGGGUGGAGGCAAAGCUGUAGCUGCAUCCUCUUGGUCAACAGUGUUGAGCUCUGCACAUUUACUAGGAAGCUGUUUUGUGCCUGGCCCCAGGCCCUGUCUCUGAUGAGAAAUAAAAUGUCCAUGGGGCCAAAUACAUUUUUAUUUCAGUGUCUUUGAGACAAGUGUUUGCUAUGUAGCCCAGGCUGACCUUGAACUCACAGCAGUCCUUCAGAUGUUACACCACACCCAGCUUUCACUCAUGUAUGCUAGGGAAAAUCACAAUGUUUCUGGUAGGGAUGGAGAAAGAGCACUUCCAUGCGGCUAGGGGUCUGAUCUUUAAGAGAAAACGUAAUCACAUUUACGGUGAGGGGAUGGCUCCCUGCCCCAGCCCCCAGGGCUUCUCCAGCCCACACCAGGGGCUCCCAGGCCUAGUUUUCCAGCAGAGUAGGCCAGGCACCUCUGGUAGAGCUGCAGAGAGGUAACUUGGGGGCUCUUGGGAGUGGAGGGCAGGGAUGGCUCCCAGUACUCACACAGAGGAAAGUAGGCUACUCGGAGACCAUGGCUGGCUAUUCUGGACACCAUGGCA